GACGAACGCUGGCGGCGUGCUUAACACAUGCAAGUCGAACGGGCCCGCCCCUGUUUUUGGGGGUGGGUUGAGUGGCGAACGGGUGAGUAUCACGUGAGUAACCUGCCCCCUGCUCCUGGAUAACUGCUUGAAAGGGCGGCUAAUACGGGGUGUGCCGGCUGGUCCGCAUGGGCCUGGUCGGGAUAGUUUCAUCUUCGGGUGUUUCGGUGGGGGAUGGGCUCGCGGCCUAUCAGCUUGUUGGUGGGGUGAUGGCCCACCAAGGCGGUGACGGGUAGCCGGCCUGAGAGGGUGGGCGGCCACACUGGGACUGAGACACGGCCCAGACUCCUGCGGGAGGCAGCAGUGGGGGGUAUUGCACAAUGGGCGGAAGCCUGAUGCAGCGACGUCGCGUGAGGGAUGGAGGCCUUCGGGUUGUGAACCUCUUUCUCCGGUGGUGAAGGCCCUGUCCGGUGCGGCGGGGUUGACGGUAGCCGGGGAUGAAGCGCCGGCUAACUACGUG
rnacentral:rRNA from 1 species